UACGUAGGAUGCAAGCGUUGUCCGGAAUUAUUGGGCGUAAAGAGCGCGUAGGCGGUAUAGCCAGUCCGAUGUGAAAUCUCCCGGCUUAACUGGGAGGGGCCAUUGGAAACUGCUAAACUAGAGUGCAGGAGAGGUCAGUAGAAUUCCCGGUGUAGUGGUGAAAUGCGUAGAUAUCGGGAGGAAUACCAGUGGCGAAGGCGACUGACUGGCCUGCAACUGACGCUGAGGCGCGAAGGCUAGGGGAGCAAACAGG
rnacentral:rRNA from 2 species